UACGUAGGUGGCAAGCGUUGUCCGGAUUUACUGGGCGUAAAGCGUGUGUAGGCGGACCUUUAAGUAGAAAGUGAAAGGUUGGAGCUCAACUCCAACACUGCUCUCUAUACUGGGGGUCUUGAGUGCCGGAGAGGAAGAUGGAACUGCACGUGUAGCGGUGAAAUGCGUUGAUAUGUGCAGGAACACCAAUGGCGAAGGCAAUCUUCUGGACGGAGACUGAUGCUCAGACACGAAAGCCAAGGUAGCAAACAGG
rnacentral:rRNA from 1 species